rnacentral:rRNA from 1 species
UAUUUUGAUAGUUUGACGGUUAAUGCUGGUAAUGGUGGUUUUCUUCAUUGCAUUCAGAUGGAUACAUCUGUCAACGCCGCUAAUCAGGUUGUUUCUGUUGGUGCUGAUAUUGCUUUUGAUGCCGACCCUAAAUUUUUUGCCUGUUUGGUUCGCUUUGAGUCUUCUUCGGUUCCGACUACCCUCCCGACUGCCUAUGAUGUUUAUCCUUUGGAUGGUCGCCAUGAUGGUGGUUAUUAUACCGUCAAGGACUGUGUGACUAUUGACGUCCUUCCCCGUACGCCGGGCAAUAAUGUUUAUGUUGGUUUCAUGGUUUGGUCUAACUUUACCGCUACUAAAUGCCGCGGAUUGGUUUCGCUGAAUCAGGUUAUUAAAGAGAUUAUUUGUCUCCAG